rnacentral:lncRNA from 1 species
CCCCUCCGGCUGGCGAGUCCAGCCGCAGAGCUGCUCCCCUGUCCGCCCCUGACACCCAGCACCUCGUCGUCUUCCCCCGCAGAAAGCUCGGCUCCCGGCCGGUCCCGCUCCGCGCUCGGCAGCCCGGAGGAGGCCGGGGAGGCUUUGGGGGGCGGGGGUCUGGGUGGGAGGAAGCGAAGGCCGGCGGGUCGGAGCCGCGCUGGGAGGGGGCUGGCGAGCCCCCCCGCCCCCGCCCCCGCCCCGGCCCCGGCCCCGGCUAAUCCCCCUGCUGCAGCGUCGGUUCCCGGGACCGUAUUAUUCAAGACAGAAAAUAUUCAGCCCCAGAGCCUCCCCUGGGGAGGGGAGGGGAAGGAGGUGGAGUGGGAGGAGGUGGAUCCAGGGAGGAAGAAGCGAGAAAUCCGCCCCCGGGAAACAGCUCGGCGCGGCGGCGGAGCGAGGCGCUUCUGUCACUUGGCGAUCGCGGGCGCCCGAGCGCGGCCCCGGCCCGGCCCGGCGAGGCGAGGGGAGAGUCCGGCGGCCGCCGCCCCGCCCCACGCCCUCCCGCGGCGGCCGAGAGCCCGGGCCCGGCCGGGGCGGGUCGCGGCGGUGCCUGGGAGCGGCCGGCCGGGGGCGGCGGCCUCGGAGCGCGGCGGCGGGCAGCGGCGGAUCGUCCUCGCGCCGGGCGUGCGGGGCGCGCCGCCGGGGGCCCGCCAGCCCCGAGCGGAUCCACUCGCCCCGCUUCCUCCGGUGCGUGUCUGCUUUGCUUUCCGCCUCGGCCGAGAGGGCGCAGCGCCCGCGGGCGGGUGGAGAGCCCGGCGCGCCGCGGGCUCCCUCCCUUCCCGCCACCCCAGGCCACCCCGCCCGGCGCUGGCGCGGGGCCGGAGGGAGCCCGCGGCGGACGCCCGGCGGGGGCGGGGGCGGAGGGGCCGCGCCCGCGUGUGCGGAGCGAGGGAGGGCCGGGGGAAGGAGGGAAGGGCACAAAGGCCGGCGGCGGGCGCCGAGGUCCGGCCGGCCGGCCGUGGAGGAGGGGCGCCUCCCGUCCGCUCAUGA